AUAUACUGAAAGUCGCAGGUUCUCGG
rnacentral:piRNA from 1 species